UACGUAGGGUGCAAGCGUUAAUCGGAAUUACUGGGCGUAAAGCGUGCGCAGGCGGUUGUGCAAGACAGAUGUGAAAUCCCCGGGCUCAACCUGGGAAUUGCAUUUGUGACUGCACGGCUAGAGUGUGUCAGAGGGGGGUAGAAUUCCACGUGUAGCAGUGAAAUGCGUAGAGAUGUGGAGGAAUACCGAUGGCGAAGGCAGCCCCCUGGGCUAACACUGACGCUCAGGCACGAAAGCGUGGGGAGCAAACAGG
rnacentral:rRNA from 1 species